AUGGACGCCGCAGCUGUGCUCGACGCCUUCUCCACCGCGUCGCACCACCAGCUCCGCCCGACAGCCUCGUGCAGAUCCACGCGCUUCGCGUCCCAGGCGUGCCGCGCCACCGCCCCAUUCGCCCGCGCCGACUGGCAGGCCGCCUGCGCCAUCCUCGCCAGCAACAGCACGGGCGGCGGCGGCCACAAUGCCAGCAGCAACACGCAGCCAGCGCCGCGGGUCAAUGGCCAGAAGCCCCCGCCAGCCCUGGAGGCGACGCCGACGCUGGACGAGCUGGAUGUGGUGCCCGUGUCCAAUCUCCCCCGCCCGCUCAUCAUCAGUGACCUGUACCCGAUGCCCAUGCACGGGUCGCAGCUCCGCGUGGCGUACUAG